UACGUAGGGGCCUAGCGUUGUCCGGAUUUAUUGGGCGUAAAGAGCUCGUAGGCGGUUUGGUGAGUCGGGUGUGAAAUCUCCACGCUCAACGUGGAGGGGCCACCCGAUACUGCCAUGACUAGAGUCCGGUAGGGGAGUGUGGAAUUCCCGGUGUAGCGGUGAAAUGCGCAGAUAUCAGGAGGAACACCGGCGGCGAAGGCGGCACUCUGGGCCGGUACUGACGCUGAGGAGCGAAAGCGUGGGUAGCAAACAGG
rnacentral:rRNA from 1 species